rnacentral:rRNA from 1 species
AUUGAACGCUGGCGGCAGGCCUAACACAUGCAAGUCGAACGAGUGGCGGACGGGUGAGUAAUGUCUGGGAAACUGCCUGAUGGAGGGGGCUAACUACUGGAAACGGUAGCUAAUACCGCAUACCAUCAGAUGUGCCCAGAUCGGAUGAGCUAGUAGGUGGGGUAAUGGCUCACCUAGGCGAAGAUCCCUAGCUGGUCUGAGAGGAUGACCAGCCACACUGGAACUGAGACACGGUCCAGACUCAUACGGGAGGCAGCAGUGGGGAAUAUUGCACAAUGGGCGAAAGACUGAUGCAGCAAUGCGGCGGGUGUGAAGAAGGCCUUCGGGUUGGAAAGCAAUUUCAGCGAGGAGGAGGGAAGAGAAGAAGAAGCACCGGCUAACUCCGUGCCAGCAGCCGCGGUAAGUG